GUUAUACUUUCUCCGUCCGAAAAUACUUGUCAUAAAAAUGGAUGUAUGUAAAUGUAUUUUAGAUUUAGAUAUAUCCAUUUUUAUUCAUUUGUGCGACAAAUAAUUCCGGACGAAAAGAGUAUGUA
rfam:Hordeum vulgare subsp. vulgare, WGS project CAJW01000000 data, contig: morex_contig_1562675